rnacentral:snoRNA from 1 species
CCUGCCCCUCGAGGGGUUGCAGGGGUGGCUGCUGUGUCACAUCUGCGUGACUAGGCGGCAGACAGAAUCGAGGCUAUGUCUACACUCAGGGCUCCGACCCGUGAACGCCUGAAUGAUUAGUAGCCUGACACG